UUCGUAGGUAGAGAAUACUAAGGCGUAGAGAUAAUACUUGUAAAGGAACUCGGCAAGUUGUCUUCAUAAGUUAGACGAGAUGAAGAACCAAUUAUAUAAUUUUUAUUUAGGUAAAUUUUAUAUAAAGGGUGGCACAUAAUCGGAGGCCCCGACUGUUUACUUAAAACACAGACAUCUGCAACGAUUAAUUUCUUUGUAUAGGUGUUGAAUUUUGCCCAAUGCCAUUAAUAUAAGGUUAAUAGGCGCUUUGCGUUUUUAUUUUCUAAAAAUCUGGUCAAUGGCGGUCUUAUCCUGAGGAUCCUAAGGUAGCAAAAUUACUUGUCCAUUAAAUGUGGUCCCGACUGAAUAAAGUAACGAUGGUCUCACUGUCUCUACAAGUAUCUCAGUGAAAUUGAAUUAGCCGUGAAGAUGCGGUUUACCUCCAGGUAGACGGGAAGACCCUAUGCAGCUUUACUGUAGCUAGUUAUCAUAUAUACUUAAUCUAGGUGUAGCGUAUAAGGUAGUCGAUUUGACAAAGGUGAAACACCUUAACUAGUAUUAUGUUAAUAUUUAUUCUUCAUUUUGUAAGAAAACAAAUGACUAGUUGGCAGUUUGA
rnacentral:rRNA from 1 species